UAGUCCACGCCGUAAACGAUGGUCACUAGCUGUUGGGUUUUCGGACUCAGUGGCUAAGCGAAAGUGAUAAGUGACCCACCUGGGGAGUACGUUCGCAAGAAUGAAACUCAAAGGAAUUGACGGGGGCCCGCACAAGCGGUGGAGCAUGUGGUUUAAUUCGAUGAUACGCGAGGAACCUUACCAGGGCUUAAAUGUAAGUUGCAUAGAUUGGAGACAGUCUUUUCUUCGGACUACUUACAAGGUGCUGCAUGGUUGUCGUCAGCUCGUGCCGUGAGGUGUCAGGUUAAGUCCUAUAACGAGCGGCAACCCCUGUUGUUAGUUGCCAGCGAGUCAAGUCGGGAACUCUAACAAGACUGCCAGUGCAAACUGUGAGGAAGGUGGGGAUGACGUCAAAUCAUCACGGCCCUUACGUCCUGGGCUACACACGUGCUACAAUGGUAGGUACAAUGAGCAGCCACUGCGUGAGCAGGAGCGAAUCUAUAAAACCCUAGUCACAGUUCGGAUCCGGG
rnacentral:rRNA from 1 species